GGGGGACCUCCUACCUUCCUCUCUUUUGCUCUUCCAUCCUUCGUCUCGCUCUUCAACUGCCUCCGUCGCUGUCCGUACCCUCCUCGCGGUUCGUUCCAGCAGAGCCGGUGCCUGCGGUUUUCGGGCUGCUUUUGGAGCAUUCUCUCUAGCAAAGGAGACCGACGAAGCAGGGGGUCGCCGGGCUGCUUCCGUUUCAGCUUCAAGUUCCGACGAACCGCCUUGGCUUCUCCGGUUCGGCUCCCGUUCGGGCGUUCUUUCUCGACCUCCUAAUGGGCGGCGGCGAUUCGAUUUCUUUUCCGAUUAGUUUUUGUGAGGUUUCGGCUCGAUUUCUUCCGAUUGGCGGGUGAAGAUGGCGGGAGUGGAAUCCGGAGAAGGAUUUGCUGGGCAUGGUCACGGAGGACUUCGAAGGCGGUGUUGCUUCGUCGCUUCAGUUGGCAGAGGCUGUGGACAAUCUCCCUUGGUAAUUGCUUCGACUAGAGAAAUUUCCACGUCGACGUCAAUUUUCUCGACCGUUGCGCGCCUGAGCUCAGCCCGUGGCUUCGCUUUGCUGUCUACGACCACGUCAAGGACCUCUCAUUCGAUGUGACUAAAGAGGCCGUGCGAGAUGGCCGGCCAUUUCGCGGUACCGCCGCUCCUUCAUAAAUGCUCUUAGCUGGUGAACCUGCAUAUGAGGCUCCGGAGCUUCUGGUUUAGUAGGAGUAUUGCUUGGAUUAAUCUUAGGUCCCUGUCCAUCUGUGACUCGGAGGUGACCGAUGAGGUGAUGCAUGAGAUGUUGAAGGGCAGCUGGAUGCCGUGGUCUGAAGCAAAACAUCAAGCUUUGUUCGAGAACUUUGAGGGAAAUUGCGGUCCAUAGCUGCUUUUGGUAUGCACUUGAUGAGGUUUUUCCCUUGGAGAUUUCGAGUCCUCUUUUGCUGUCCUGUCAUUGCGUUUGAGAGGGUUUUUUGGUAUGAUGAGGCAGCUGGUAGCGGAAGUCUCAUCCUUGAUUGAAGCGGAGUUGAACUUUUUUUCAUGAGAGGCGAGGAUUUUGGAAGGCCAACUAAUUGUUUUGUUCGAAAUUGGUUUGAGUUUUACAGAGGGUAUUGCAGCCUAGUUGAGGAGCUGCUUCAGAAGCUGCAGAAUGUGACUAAGCUUUUGAUUGGAAGUUCAUUCCAAACUUCAGCACAAGGAAUCUGGUUUACAUUGUUUGCAACUCUGCUUGAUGACAACUGGUGCAAAUACCCAUUGUGCCUUCAGAAUAACUACCAAAAAGACCAAAGAAAGAGCAGCUGGUUUAGGGUGAAGAUGGGGUGAGUGGAAUCUGGAGAAGGAUUUGCUGGCGAUGGUCACAGAGCACUCGAAGGUGGGUGCUUUGGGUGCUUCGUUGCUUCAAUUGGCAGAGGCUGUGGACAAUCUCUCCUAGGUAAAUGUGUAACAUCAUUAUGCCGGUGUCCUGAUGACAAGGUUGUUGUCUUGGGACUUGAAGACGGUACAGUUUUACUGCAUGAUGUCGAAGAUGACUACCAAGUUUUUGGUGAAGAUUGACUUUGAAACUCAAACAAGGAUCAGGAUUCUUCUUGAAGUUUAAUCACUAAAAUUAUCAACUAGGAUUUGAGUAUUAUUAGGAUUUUACGAAAUUUCCUUUUCUUUCUUUUUUUAAGCUUGCAUAGUAGGAUCUUACGUAUACUCCAAUAAUGUUUCUUGUUAUUGAGCUUGGCAAGUGUUUGCUUUGCAGAUUGUGUGAUGCAAUUCAUCUUUGGCAUGAUGCUUAAGAAACCCUGGGUGUGUUGCUUGGGCAAUUUUGCGUGUGAUGCUUAAAUAUUUAUUCUUUAUUGUGGGACUCAGUCCUAUAUCAAAGCCGUGAAAUGUUUUUGACGUUACAUUGUUUGAUACAUCCGUUAAAUUAUGAAUCAAGGAAAUUGAUUGACUCAUAUCUAAUCAGUGAAAUCAGCAGUGAGUUACUUUAAUCACAUAUCAUACAGAAUUAAUAUGCUCAUUCAAUAGAUUUAUAUACUUUAGGAGUUGAAUCUUAUUGAUGUGCUCAAUUGCAUUCUCAUGUAGGACAAGAUUUUUACUUCGCUGCUAAUGUUGUCAUCGAUGGUUGAGACUAUUUCAAUUGUCAACGACAAAUUACAGGAUAGUGUGUGCUGGGGUCCAGCUUGUGUCAAUCAAUAUAGAUGGAUCCAAAAUCUGAUUCAAAUCUAAUAUAGCACUUAUGGAUCUACAAGAAUUGCUGAGAAGAGAAGUUUAUACAUAAUGAAUGUUACUUACCAAGGUAGCUGUCUUUAUGGAACUAUAAAUGUGCAGGGUGCUGCUUUUGACAUGCUAGUGCUUGCAGCAGUUAUGCACACUGUGGUAUAAUCAUUCUAAUAGGGUAUAAAUAUGAAGCAGAAUGGAAAACUCUUGAGAAGCUUGAAGUAUGGUAGUUGGGGUGUGUCUCAACUGGGAGGAGGAUGCCCAAGUGAAUGGAGUAUGGCAUCUUUCAACUUAAAAGUUGAAUGCUUCUAGUAACUCUUUGGCAUUUGAAGAUCGCACUACUCAAUUCUUCCCUCCAGCUCCAGGAGUUCCUCGAAUGCCUGGACUAGUACCCGGAGAUGCUGGGUUAACUGACAAGGUUCAAGAUUCAUUUGUAGAGCUCUCAAAUUCUUCAAAGCAAUGUUUGCAUAGCCUUUGCAGUGGAGAUAUAGAUGGGGUUUUGCACUUUAGUAUAUUUGGUGUCUUCCCAAUCGAAAAUAUUGUCAGUGUCUUGUCUGUUCAAAUCAAAUAUUUAGCUAUAAGGUCUGUCAUAUUCAGUAAAUGAGUCCUUUCUUGUUCUUGCUUCUCAUAUAGCGGUUUUUCUUAUUAAAGGGAUUUGAUGGUAGACUGAUAGCAAAUCAUUAUUACUUGGGAAGUAAUGGGCUGCUUAAGUAAACAACUAUUCCUAGGCGAGGUUAUGCUUGUAAAAGUUCUAGAUAUUUAUGCCAUUUCUUAGGCUAGAUUUCACUUC